CCUACGGGGGGCAGCAGUAGGGAAUCUUGGACAAUGGGCGAAAGCCUGAUCCAGCCAUGCCGCGUGAGUGAUGAAGGCCUUAGGGUUGUAAAGCUCUUUCGCCAGGGAAGAUAAUGACGGUACCUGGAUAAGAAGCCCCGGCUAACUUCGUGCCAGCAGCCGCGGUAAUACGAAGGGGGCUAGCGUUGUUCGGAAUUACUGGGCGUAAAGCGCACGUAGGCGGUUUUCCAAGUUGGAGGUGAAAUCCCUGGGCUCAACCCGGGAACUGCCUCCAAAACUGGAUCACUCGAGUCCGAGAGAGGUGAGUGGAAUUUCCAGUGUAGAGGUGAAAUUCGUAGAUAUUGGAAAGAACACCAGUGGCGAAGGCGGCUCACUGGCUCGGUACUGACGCUGAGGUGCGACAGCGUGGGGAGCAAACGGGAUUAGAUACCCUGGUAGUC
rnacentral:rRNA from 1 species